AUUGAGGUUUAAAUCUGUUGUAGGAAUUACUAGGAUUUGGUUUAGGGUUUGGUUAGGGUUUAGGAUUUGGAUUAGGGUUUGAUUAGGAUUUGAAUUAGGAUUUGGUUUAGGAUUUGAUUGGGGUUUGGUUUAAGGUUUAUUUAGGGUUUGAUUUAGGAUUUAGGAUUUUAUUAGGAUUUUAUUAGGAUUUAAGAUUCAAUUAGUUUUGGCCUAAAGUUUGAAUGAAGUUCAAUAGAAUUUUAACUAGAAUUAAAUUAAGAUUGAAUUGAGAUGUAUUUGAGUGAUAUUUGUGAUUCUUUUAAUAUUUCUUUAAGAAUUCUUAUUAUUUUUU
rnacentral:lncRNA from 1 species